UACAGAGGUCCCGAGCGUUGUUCGGAUUCACUGGGCGUAAAGGGUGCGUAGGCGGUGCGGUAAGUCUGUAGUGAAAUCUCUGGGCUCAACUCAGAGUCUGCUGCAGAAACUGCCGUGCUUGAGUGUGGGAGAGGUGAGUGGAAUUCCCGGUGUAGCGGUGAAAUGCGUAGAUAUCGGGAAGAACACCCGUGGCUAAGGCGGCUCUCUAGUACGGUACUGACGCUGAGACGCGAAAGCGUGGGGAGCGAACAGG
rnacentral:rRNA from 1 species